UCGAACGUGAAGCCGAUUUCGGUUGGUGGAAAGUGGCGGACGGGUGAGUAACACGUAAGUAACCUGCCUCACAGUGGGGGAUAACCAUUAGAAAUGAUGGCUAAUACCGCAUGGUUUUGUUGGAACGGGAGUUUUGACAAAUAAAGCUCAGGCGCUUUGAGAGGGGCUUGCGUCCGAUUAGCUAGUUGGUGGGGUAAAGGCUCACCAAGGCGAUGAUCGGUAGCUGGUCUGAGAGGACGAUCAGCCACACGGGAACUGAGACACGGUCCCGACUCCUACGGGGGGCAGCAGUGAGGAAUAUUCGUCAAUGGGGGCAACCCUGAACGAGCAACGCCGCGUGGAGGAAGAAGGCCCUUGGGUUGUAAACUCCUUUUCUGUGGGAAGAGCAAGGACGGUACCACAGGAAUAAGUCACGGCUAACUACGUGCCAGCAGCCGCGGUAAUACGUAGGUGGCGAGCGUUAUCCGGAUUUACUGGGCGUAAAGCGCACGCAGGUGGUUACUUAAGUCUGAUGUGAAAGCUCCUGGCUUAACUGGGAGAGGUCGUUGGAAACUGGGUAACUUGAGGUGAUGAGAGGGGUGUGGAAUUCCCGGUGUAUUGGUGGAAUGCGUAGCAUAUCGGGGGGAACACCAGUGGCGAAAGCGGCACCCUGGCAUU
rnacentral:rRNA from 1 species